GGCAGCAAAACAAAAAGAGAGGCAACGAGAGAACAAAAAAGAGAGAGAGAGAGUGUAGAGGGGAAAAACGCAGGAGCAGAGAAAGAAGAGGAAGGGAAGAAGAGAAGAAUAAUUCGAAGCUAAGAAGAGACCACGAGAAGCUACAAACAUAGAGCAGUGGGUGAUCAUGUAAGACUAUGAGCACUCCAAACAAGAAGUUGAUGGUCUAUCCUCUCUCCAAAAGUCCCUCGUUGCUUCAUCCUCACAAAUAUCACCGACGGCUUCCGGGCAAGACACAAAGUCGACAUCAAGCCCUCAUUCACAGCCGUGGUGUCACUCCAUGCUGCACUUGCUUUCGCUGCCUAUAUUGCGGUGCGUCCUGCGUAUAGGUGGCGGAAGCAAGCUUCAAGUUCAAGGGGGUUCACCAUACUUGUUUUUGAUGCCUGUAUCGCGGUGCGUCCUGCAUAUGGGUGGCAAAAAUGAGUAUGUCAGGUGAAUGCCUGGUGGCUGCCAUUUCACGUCAAGUACGGUCCUACAAAGUUCCCGAGUUCAUAACAGUGGGGAAGCUGCUCCAGAAGGAUCCUCGUAUAGUGUUUCAACGCCAUGUUGUUGCUUCCACAUGCAUCAAAGAAGUCACCAAAGUCAUGUUCGGGAAACCCGCUCACAAGUUAGACUGCAGCAGCAAAUGGAAGAAAGAGGGGAGUUGCCUCACAAGAUGGCUGCAGAGAUGUUCGACGGAUACGUACAACACGGUGGCAUAAGCCCAAUUGGUAUGAAGGAUUGAACACAUUCAUUCAAUCCAUGGCAAAACUACCUCUGUGAAGUUAAGAACUACCUUUGCAAAUCAAUGGCUCGUACUACGUCUGCAAAGAAACAAGUCAGAAUGGUGGUCUUCUCCGAAAUUAUGUCUACAAAUGAAAGACAAUUGUUGCACUGCUACCAUCAAAAGAAACAUAUCGAAGAAGCUACAUGGCUGGUGGCUACAUGGCAACAUCUCUCUUAAUGCCAAGGCUCCACCGCUCCACCAUCUUAAUAAGGGGACACGAGUUCAUCCAAGAAAGGAGAAAGGAUACAAAUUAAAGACAAACUCCACCACUUCAAGUAUAAAUGAAUGGGAAUUAUGAAUCCCAUAUGAAAUAUGCCACUUGA